rnacentral:rRNA from 1 species
CCCUGUCCUUAGUUACCAGCACGUUAUGGUGGGCACUCUAAGGAGACUGCCGGUGACAAACCGGAGGAAGGUGGGGAUGACGUCAAGUCAUCAUGGCCCUUACGGCCUGGGCUACACACGUGCUACAAUGGUCGGUACAAAGGGUUGCCAAGCCGCGAGGUGGAGCUAAUCCCAUAAAACCGAUCGUAGUCCGGAUCGCAGUCUGCAACUCGACUGCGUGAAGUCGGAAUCGCUAGUAAUCGUGAAUCAGAAUGUCACGGUGAAUACGUUCCCGGGCCUU